AUACAAGUGUGUAAUCUAGGAGAAAAACUUAAUUUGUCAAACUUAGAUAAGCAUGAUGUUUAGGUCCUAUUUUUCAAUUUUAUAACUGUUUUAUUGCAACAAUAUUUGUACUUAAGUCUCCAUUUUAAUGCCUUGUGGUGUUUUUUUAUGCAUGUCACUAAGUUGUCAUCCCACAUAAAUUGAUGUGCAGCAUAGGGUAUUAAAUCUACAUAAUGAUUUUAAAACAGAUAUAGUUGAUGGUAAAAUGUAAAUGUUUUGCAAAAAUUCCUUAUAAAAAGUUUCGUAGUAACAUUUCACUUGUAAAUUUUUUGUAAAAAAGAAAAUGGAAAAAAAAAAAGAUGAAUCCAGGAAAAAAAAAAAAAACCUGUUUUCCCAUAUUCUAGAAUUUAGACAAUUAUUCUGCCAGCAAAGCCUCUGGGGCUGUAAUUGACAUUUUUACAGUGCUGAUUUGUAUAAAAUUUGUUUUUUGUGGAUUUGGAAAUAAAAUCAUGUACAAGUUGUUGCCUGCAGUAACAAUUGCAAGUAACCUAUUAAAGUCCCCUUGGGUUGAACAUGCCUCAUUUAAUUAUGUAUACUAUAGAGCAGCAAUAAAGUGUUUAAACUACC
rnacentral:lncRNA from 1 species